rnacentral:rRNA from 1 species
GAUGAACGCUGGCGGCGUGCCUAAUACAUGCAAGUCGAGCGAACAGACGAGGAGCUUGCUCCUCUGACGUUAGCGGCGGACGGGUGAGUAACACGUGGAUAACCUACCUAUAAGACUGGGAUAACUUCGGGAAACCGGAGCUAAUACCGGAUAAUAUAUUGAACCGCAUGGUUCAAUAGUGAAAGACGGUUUUGCUGUCACUUAUAGAUGGAUCCGCGCCGCAUUAGCUAGUUGGUAAGGUAACGGCUUACCAAGGCAACGAUGCGUAGCCGACCCGAGAGGGUGAUCGGCCACACUGGAAGUGAGACACGGUCCAGACUCCUACGGGAGGCAGCAGUAGGGAAUCUUACGCAAUGGGCGAAAGCCUGACGGAGCAACGCCGCGUGAGUGAUGAAGGUCUUCGGAUCGUAAAACUCUGUUAUUAGGGAGGAACAAAUGUGUAAGUAACUAUGCACGUCUUGACGGUACCUAAUCAGAAAGCCACGGCUAACUACGUG